rnacentral:rRNA from 4 species
AUGAAGAACGUAGCGAAAUGCGAUACUUGGUGUGAAUUGCAGAAUCCCGUGAACCAUCGAGUCUUUGAACGCAAGUUGCGCCCGAAGCCAUUAGGCUAAGGGCACGUCUGCCUGGGCGUCACGC